rnacentral:rRNA from 1 species
UACGAAGGGGGGCUAGUCGUGCUCGGAAUUACUGGGCGUAAAGGGCGCGUAGGCGGCACUGUUAGUCAGGCGUGAAAUUCCUGGGCUCAACCUGGGGACUGCGCUUGAUACGGCAGAGCUAGAGGAUGGAAGAGGCUCGCGGAAUUCCCAGUGUAGAGGUGAAAUUCGUAGAUAUUGGGAAGAACACCGGUGGCGAAGGCGGCGAGCUGGUCCAUUACUGACGCUGAGGCGCGACAGCGUGGGGAGCAAACAGG